AUUGAACGCUGGCGGCAUGCUUUACACAUGCAAGUCGAACGGUAACAGGCCUUCGGGUGCUGACGAGUGGCGCACGGGUGAGUAAUGCAUCGGAACGUACCCAGAGGUGGGGGAUAACGCAGCGAAAGCUGUGCUAAUACCGCAUGUGGUCUGAGGAUGAAAGCGGGGGACCGAGCAGCAAUGUUUGGCCUCGCGCCUUUGGAGCGGCCGAUGUCGGAUUAGCUAGUUGGUGGGGUAAAGGCCUACCAAGGCGACGAUCCGUAGCUGGUCUGAGAGGACGACCAGCCACACUGGGACUGAGACACGGCCCAGACUCCUACGGGAGGCAGCAGUGGGGAAUUUUGGACAAUGGGCGCAAGCCUGAUCCAGCAAUGCCGCGUGCGGGAAGAAGGCCUUCGGGUUGUAAACCGCUUUUGGCAGGAACGAAACGGUGUCCGCUAAUACCGGGCGCUAAUGACGGUACCUGCAGAAUAAGCACCGGCUAACUACGUGC
rnacentral:rRNA from 1 species